rnacentral:misc_RNA from 1 species
AAAGUCGUAACAAGGUUUCCGUAGGUGAACCUGCGGAAGGAUCAUUACCGAAUGGACCCGCACCUCGCCUUGUGCGGUGGUGGCGCCUCUUGAUCUUGAUUUGGUGCUCAUCCCUCCUGGGGUUGCAUGCCUUUCAAGAUGUCCUAUGCUAAACACAAACCUGUCAUCGUAUGGUGUUGAACAUUUAACAUAUAAUACAACUUUCAACAACGGAUCUCUUGGCUCUC